CCCACAGGCUAGCUCCUGUGCGUCUGGGGCUUGUGCGCAUGGUAAGAGGGUCGUGUACCUAUAGGUUAGCAUGCAGGGCCACUGCCACCUCGGAUAGUGCGCCACCAUCACCUUGGGUGGGGCACCACCGCCGCAGUCACCUGGGGCGGUGCACCGCCACCGUCGACGGAGGAGACUCUUCUCCCUUAUUUUUUGUGUUAAGCAUUUUUUUUCCUCCCUCUCUUCACUGGAUUUUGCCACUUGGUGUGAAUCGAUGAUUCCUAAUUAUCUAUUAGUAGGGUCUUUCUUUCCCAUUCUU
rnacentral:lncRNA from 1 species